UACAGAGGUGGCAAGCGUUGUUCGGAAUUACUGGGCGUAAAGGGCGCGUAGGCGGUUUUGUAAGUCCCGCGUGAAAUCCCCCGGCUCAACUGGGGAACUGCGCGGGAAACUGCAAGGCUUGAGUUCGGGAGAGGGAAGCGGAAUUCCGGGUGUAGCGGUGAAAUGCGUAGAUAUCCGGAGGAACACCGGUGGCGAAGGCGGCUUCCUGGACCGGUUCUGACACUGAGGAGCGAAAGCGUGGGGAGCGAUCCGG
rnacentral:rRNA from 1 species